rnacentral:rRNA from 1 species
AAGGGUGCGUAACACGUGGGCAAUCUGCCGAGAAGUGGGGGAUAGCUCGCCGAAAGGCGAAUUAAUACCGCAUGUGGUUAGGGAAGACAUCUUUCCGACACCAAAGCCGGGGCAACCUGGCGCUUCUUGAUGAGCCCGCGGCCUAUCAGCUAGUUGGUGAGGUAACGGCUCACCAAGGCUAUGACGGGUAGCUGGUCUGAGAGGACGACCAGCCACACUGGAACUGAGACACGGUCCAGACACCUACGGGUGGCAGCAGUCGAGAAUUUUUCUCAAUGGGGGAAACCCUGAAGGAGCGACGCCGCGUGGAGGAUGAAGGUCUUCGGAUUGUAAGCUCCUGUCAUUAGGGAACAAUGUGCGGUUAUUAACUGUAAUCGUAUUGAUAUUACCUGAAGAGGAAGAGACGGCUAACUCUGUGCCAGCAGCCGCGGUAAUACAGAGGUCUCAAGCGUUGUUCGGAUUCAUUGGGCGUAAAGGGUGCGUAGGUGGCGCCAUAAGUCAGGUGUGAAAUCUCGGGGCUCAACCCCGAAACUGCACUUGAUACUGUGGUGCUCGAGUACUGGAGAGGAGAUUGGAAUU